GGGCCCGCACAAGCAGCGGAGCAUGUGGUUUAAUUCGAAGCAACGCGAAGAACCUUACCAAGGCUUGACAUCCCCUGACAGCCGCGGAAACGCGGUUUCCCUUCGGGGCAGGGAGACAGGUGGUGCAUGGUUGUCGUCAGCUCGUGUCGUGAGAUGUUGGGUUAAGUCCCGCAACGAGCGCAACCCUUACACUUAGUUACCAGCGGGUAAUGCCGGGGACUCUAGGUGGACUGCCGGGGAUAACUCGGAGGAAGGUGGGGACGAUGUCAAAUCAUCAUGCCCCUUAUGUCUUGGGCUACACACGUGCUACAAUGGCCGCAACAAAGAGCAGCAAUACCGUAAGGUGGAGCGAAACUCAUAAAAGCGGUCCCAGUUCGGAUUGUGGGCUGCAACCCGCCCACAUGAAGUCGGAGUUGCUAGUAAUCGCGGAUCAGCAUGCCGCGGUGAAUGCGUUCCCGGGCCUU
rnacentral:rRNA from 1 species